rnacentral:rRNA from 1 species
AUACGUAGGGGGCUAGCGUUACCCGGAAUCACUGGGCGUAAAGGGAGCGUAGGUGGCCUGACAUGUCAACUGUGAAAACCCGGAGCUCAACUCCGGACUUGCAGUUGAAACUGCCAGGCUUGAGGACGGUAGAGGAAGACGGAACUGCCAGUGUAGGGGUAAAAUCCUUAGAUAUUGGCAGGAACGCCGGUGACGAAGGUGGUCUUCUGGGCCGGAUCUGACACUGAGGCUCGAAAGCCAGGGGAGCGAACGGGAUUAGAUACCCCGGUAGUCCUGGCCCUAAACGAUGUUCACUAGGUGUGGGGAGCGGAAAGCCCUCCGUGCUAAAGCUAACGCGAUAAGUGAACCGCCUGGGGAGUACGCCCGCAAGGGUGAA